CUCUCGGUAAAUGAAUGAGGAGAGCCCCAUGUGGGAUUACAAACUUGCUGGAAAUGGAUGAGAAACCUUCUGCUCUGCUGGAGUUUAUCUUGAGUGUGCCUUAAAAUUCCAUUUCAUGGAGAACUGUGCGUGGUUGAAUUUUGAUUGAUUACUCAAUUAACUGAUGUAUUGGUAGAGUGAUUAAGAAAGAAGACUUUGGGAUCAGACCAACCUGGUUUUGAAUUCAAGCUCAGCAACUUACUAGGUAAGGAGGAGAAAAGAAAGAAGGAAAAAUUGGAAAGAUAAAUGGGGUCUUUCCAGUGAAGCCUCCAGGCCUCCAGACUGGAACUUAUACCACUGAUUCUUCUGAAUCUUAGGCCUUUGGACUUGGACUGGAACUAAACCAUCAGCUCUUCUUGUUCUACCACUUGCAGACUGUAUGUCUUGGGACAUGUCAGCCUCUGUAAUCACGCUCAAUUUUCCUACAUAAUUAAGAGUUUGGAAUUCGGGCAAUAUCAAGAACCACAUCUGUCCUGAAAUCAAUUAUCUCUGUUUGCUCCUGACCCUCUGGGCCUGCCUUUCCAUGCAGUACCCUUGUUCUCUGAGAGUGAGGAGGUCUGUGUUUUGAGCCUUCCUACAAAACACAAGAAAUAAGAAGACCAUUUUGAGAAGAACAGAGAGUAGCCUUAAGAAAAUCCCUGUCGCAAGCACUCUGGGAUUUGGACUCAAAUGCUAAUUAUACAAUGAGGAAAUUGAGAUACAGAAAGGUGAAGAAAUAAUGUCACAUAGUAGUGGAGUCAGAAUAAAAAUGCAGACAGGAACCACUUGGGUGCCCAGCUGCUGUCCAUUCUCUACACUUAUCCCACCUGAUGGAAGGCUGUUAAGAAAAACAUCACUGCAAUGCCUAAUAAACAGACAUGGGUCCCAGACCCAAUAAGAGUGAAACCAUCCCCCUAUUUAAAUGAAAUUAUGGCUGAUGAGAAAGACAAAUUAAUUUCUCUGUCCCUAGUAUUACACAAAACUUUGGAUGCUGCCAUUGUUACAAUUUUAUUUUCCCCAGGAGCUCAGAGUCCCACCUUCAUUCUUUUUGUUUAAUGCUUAAGCUUGCCUGUCCACCUAUGGAAGACUAGAAUGAGCAAAGACCAUGUAUUCAAUGAUCUGUAAAUCUAACAGGAAACAAUAUAAUAAAUAUAUUGUGUUUGCUAACCAAA
rnacentral:lncRNA from 1 species